CUUCAAGUCUCGCUGUUGGCAGUUAUCGUAGCCUCAACAAAACUGAGCCCACAACCGACCAUCACCGUCACCUCAUUUCCGUGGUCGUUCUUCCCCCUCCCAUAAAGUAUUUGUCAAUUUUAUACACCAUUGCGGUCAUACUGAAUAGUUAUGCAUGCUAUAAUAGGUGUCUUCCUUCUACUAAUAAUUCAUAUCUUUCUAUUUGAGCAUGAUUAUUUUCCUUCGGUAUGAACAUGGCACUUCAUUUUCAAGACCCUCCCUGUGUUGUUGCUGCUAUCAUGUCGAUAUUUUAAUAUUAGGAGGUGGGGAGAGCAAGGAGGUUGCUGAUUUUUCGGGAAGCGGUGGCGAUCUGACAUGGAUUACGUGGGAUGAGAAAGAUCAAGCUCGACAAGAAGUUGUGAAUGCGAGGACAGGAUAGGAAGGUGUAGAUGACGGUGUGGGGGUGUGCUUGCUGCUGGUUAGGCUUGUGUGUUUCAUAGAAAAGAGAUAGUGUACAGGUCAAACUGAGCUUAUUUCUAGGAGCCCAUGAGCAGAAAGAGAUGGCUACUUUCAUGGACGGUGAAGGUCUGCAUGCUUCACGGCCGUAUCUUGAUUCCACACAACAUUAAGGAACUUCUCCAAUGCUGGAAUAAAGCUCAAUGCACCAAGAACAACAUCAGUUGAAGUAACAUUUCCUAUAUAUUGUAUUCUGAGCAUUGGAUUGAGCUCAUGUGUGAAGCUUAUGUAUUGUUUACUUUGUAUAAUGUGUGAUAAUGACGUGUCAGACUUAUGGAUUGUGGAGACCAAAUUUAUGUGACAUUUUUGGAAUGUGAGACCUGAUUAAAUGUGGGUC